rnacentral:rRNA from 1 species
UGGGGAAUAUUGCGCAAUGGGGGGAACCCUGACGCAGCCAUGCCGCGUGAAUGAAGAAGGCCUUCGGGUUGUAAAGUUCUUUCGGUAUUGAGGAAGGUUGAUGUGUUAAUAGCACAUCAAAUUGACGUUAAAUACAGAAGAAGCACCGGCUAACUCCGUGCCAGCAGCCGCGGUAAUACGGAAGGUGCGAGCGUUAAUCGGAAUAACUGGGCGUAAAGGGCACGCAGGCGGUUAUUUAAGUGAGGUGUGAAAGCCCUGGGCUUAACCUAGGAAUUGCAUUUCAGACUGGGUAACUAGAGUACUUUAGGGAGGGGUAGAAUUCCACGUGUAGCGGUGAAAUGCGUAGAGAUGUGGAGGAAUACCGAAGGCGAAGGCAGCCCCUUGGGAAUGUACUGACGCUCAUGUGCGAAAGCGUGGGGAGCAAACAGGAUUAGAUACCCUGGUAGUCCACGCUGUAAACGCUGUCGAUUUGGGGGUUGGGGUUUAACUCUGGCGCCCGUAGCUAACGUGAUAAAUCGACCGCCUGGGGAGUACGGCCGCAAGGUUA